AGAGGUUACUGCUAUCGGGGUUCGAUUAAGCCAUGCAAGUUAAAUGUUUUUCGUAAACAUAGCGAACUGCUCAGUAACACGUGGAUAACUUAACCUUAGGUCCGGCAUAACCCCGGGAAACUGGGGAUAAUUCCGGAUGUAUCAAGGAUGCUGGAAUGCCCUUUGGUUCAAAGCUUUUGUGCCUAAGGAUAGGUCUGCGGUCUAUCAGGUUGUAGUGGGUGUAACGUACCUACUAGCCGACGACGGAUACGGGUUGUGAGAGCAAGAGCCCGGAGAUGGAUUCUGAGACACGAAUCCAGGCCCUACGGGGUGCAGCAGGCGCGAACACUUUACAAUGCGGGAAACCGCGAUAAGGGAACCCCGAGUGCCAGUACUAAGUGCUGGCUGUCUAGAUGAAUAGAUAUCAUUUAAUAGCAAGGGCCGGGCAAGACCGGUGCCAGCCGCCGCGGUAACACCGGCGGCCCGAGUGGUAACCGAUAUUAUUGGGUCUAAAGGGUCCGUAGCCUGUUUAAUAAGUCCUUUGGGAAAUCUGGCAGCUUAACUGUCAGGCUGCUAAAGGAUACUGUUAAACUUGGGACCGGUAGACGUAGGGGGUACUCCAGGGGUAGGAGUGAAAUCUUGUAAUCCCUGGGGGACCAUCUGUGGCGAAGGCGCCCUACGAGAACGGGUCCGACGGUGAGGGACGAAAGCUAGGGGAGCAAACCGGAUUAGAUACCCGGGUAGUCCUAGCUGUAAACGAUGCUCGCUAGGUGUCAGGCACGGUGCGUCCGUGUCUGGUGCCGCAGGGAAGCCGUUAAGCGAGCCACCUGGGGAGUACGGUCGCAAGGCUGAAACUUAAAGGAAUUGGCGGGGGAGCACUACAACGGGUGGAGCCUGCGGUUU
rnacentral:rRNA from 1 species